rnacentral:tRNA from 1 species
GCGUUGGUAGUUUAACGGGAGAAUUCUCCACUGGCACGUGGGAGCCCUGGGUUUGAUUACCAGCCAGUACA